CAUCUUCACUUACUUAUACCAUCAUUCGAGGUAAAAGGUCACCCUUUUUUGGAACGAUGGUUCCAUGGCAAAAGUAAGGAAUUUCCGUCUUACAUUCAGUCAAUAAUCUAAUAUAGGUCUCUUUACAAGGUAUACAGAACUCAUGUUUUGGGAUAUGUAAUCACACAUCGGAUUCUCGGUGUUUUUAGUGCUUGCUUUGGUCGUGGUGAAGGGAAUACUGUAGACCUACUCAAGUUGAACUGGAAUCGAAAAGAGCCCACGUGAUGUCUCGGGAUCCUCGCCCGAAUCCCGGAUAAAGGUCCCAUAAGAAUAUUGAUAGCGUCACCUCCCUGCAAGGUGAGCUCUCUCCCUCUUUAUACAUGUAGAUUAAAGCCGCAUUGUCACCAGUUCACUUCCGGAGGUCCGACGGAAACCUCAACCGUUAAAAGACAAAAGAAUCUAUUAAAAUCCGAGAUAUUGAUCGAUAUUGAGCGAUCUCGUCGAGAGUGCGUUUGCGGAGGGUUAGUGCGCCAUGAA